ensembl:lncRNA
GUGCGUGCGUGUGUGUGAAAAGAAAAAUAAACAGUGAAUGGGGGCCCUCUGCCCGAUCCGGCCUCCAGCUCAGCCAUGGCCAAUAAUCUUAAGUGCAACAGAACAGAAAUAAAUGCAUCCUUUUCUUUGAAUGCAUGAUGGUCUCUGCCCCCAUCGCUCAUCCACCAUGGCACACACAGACUGCUAAAUCUCUGGACUAAAGCGGUCAGCAUAUGUUUAGGGAGUAGAUAUUAUAUGUAUGGCCCGGACCGAACACUUAGUCUUGUGGAAUCUCUGGGGAGACGAGAAAUCAGAUCUUAAUAAUCACACACACCUUGCUUCCCUGAUGACCCACACUAAAUCCGUGGUGUCGUCAUCUGCGGAGAUUUCGGCAAGUCAAAAAGUCUUCUAGCUGCGAGACGUGGCGAAAAAAUACGUUUGUCGAGGUUGAGUUUGUUCUGUUUUCUCCUCAAUCGCGGUUAUUUUGUCCCGGCAAUCUCGCCAAACUUCUUUCCCGAUUCCCGCAGAGCCCCUGUACUCGGUAGAUCCACCUCCGACCGUCACCCUGUGUGUCUCGUCUCAAAGAGCCGCCUGUCUGUGACCCCCAGGGGCCCGAUGCACCUGGAAACGCCAGGCACCGGGCGCGGAGACAGACGGCGUUCGCUGGGGGCCACUUAGCACAACAGGUCUGCUGCACGGGUGGCAAAGGAGUUGGCCCCGUCUGGAGAACAGAAAUAGCUUAGUCACACUUUCACCGCAUGCUCCACUUUCCCCCGGGUCGCCCGAGAGCGCGAGAGAGAGAUGGAGAGGGAGAGAGGUGGAUGGGAGGAGACCAGGGAGAGGGGUGUUUAUGAGACGGGAGGAGAGCGUGAGCGAGAGCGCAGUGGGAGAGCGAUGUUUAUGGGUUGAAGAAGAGGGAGAGAGAGAGGUGAGAGAGAUGGAGAGGUGAACAUGAGAUGGGAGAGGAUGGAGAGAGAGAGGUGGGAGAGAAGAGAGAGAGGUGUAAUAUCAGACGGGAGAGAAGAGAGAGUCUCAGUGAGACGAGGAAGAGGUAGGCGAUAAAAAAAAUGAUUGAUAAAACGCCGAGGAGCAGGGAGGGUGAUUUCCGGAAGUGUGUUUUUAGAAGUGAGGUUUUGUUCAUGCAGGCGCACACCAACUGUAAACAAGUCUCUCUCUCUCUCUCUCUCUCUCUCUCUCUCUCUCUCUCUCUCUCUCUCUCUCUCUCUCUCUCUCUC